CCCUUUCAACGUCAAAGAGGAUCGCAUUCGCGAGUUCUUUCUGCCCCUGCACCCGGAGUCCGUGCGCAUCGUCACCACCAAACAUGGCUCCCGCACGGGCUACGUGUUUGUCGAUUUCAAGUCUGAUGACGACCUCCGCAAGGCUCUGAAGCGCACACAGGAC